CAUCCUUUCUUUUUCCUUUUUUACCUUUUCUCCUUUUUCAUCUUCCGACCACAUCCUAACAAUUCGUAAUAGAGGGAGACAGAGAGAAGGAGGAAGGAACAAGAGAACGGAAUGAACUGUGCCUUUCUGCUAUAGCUAGCUAUCCACUACUGUCGUAUCGUAUCUUCUCCAGACCAACAAACCAAAAGUUAUAAUCGUCACAAGUGGUACAUUUCAU
rnacentral:ribozyme from 14 species